CACGUAGGGCGCAAGCGUUGUCCGGAAUUAUUGGGCGUAAAGAGCUCGUAGGCGGUCUGUUACGUCUGCUGUGAAAACCCGGGGCUUAACCCUGGGCUUGCAGUGGAUACGGGCAGACUAGAGGCAGGUAGGGGAGAAUGGAAUUCCCGGUGUAGCGGUGAAAUGCGCAGAUAUCGGGAGGAACACCGGUGGCGAAGGCGGUUCUCUGGGCCUGACCUGACGCUGAGGGGCGAAAGCGUGGGGAGCGAACAGG
rnacentral:rRNA from 1 species